rnacentral:rRNA from 1 species
GAUGAACGCUGGCGGCGUGCCUAAUACAUGCAAGUCGAGCGAACGGACGAGAAGCUUGCUUCUCUGAUGUUAGCGGCGGACGGGUGAGUAACACGUGGAUAACCUACCUAUAAUACGGGGAUAACUUCGGGAAACCGGAGCUAAUACCGGAUGAUAUUUUGAACCGCAGGGUUCAAAAGUGAAAGACGGUCUUGCUGUCACUUAUAGAUGGAGCCGCGCUGCAUUAGCUAGUUGGUAAGGUAACGGCUUACCAAGGCAACGAUGCAUAGCCGACCUGAGAGGGUGAUCGGCCACACUGGAACUGAGACACGGUCCAGACUCCUACGGGAGGCAGCAGUAGGGAAUCUUCCGCAAUGGGCGAAAGCCUGACGGAGCCACGCCGCGUGAGUGAUGAAGGUCUUCGGAUCGUAAAACUCUGUUAUUAGGGAAGAACAUAUGUGUAAGUAACUGUGCACAUCUUGACGGUACCUAAUCAGAAAGCCCCGGCUAACUACGUG